rnacentral:rRNA from 1 species
UAGGUGGGAGGCUUUGAAGUGUGGACGCCAGUCUGCAUGGAGCCGGCCUUGAAAUACCACCCUUUAAUGUUUGAUGUUCUAACGUGGACCCGUGAUCCGGGUUGCGGACAGUGUCUGGUGGGUAGUUUGACUGGGGCGGUCUCCUCCUAAAGAGUAACGGAGGAGCACGAAGGUUGGCUAAUCCUGGUCGGACAUCAGGAGGUUAGUGCAAUGGCAUAAGCCAGCUUGACUGCGAGCGUGACGGCGCGAGCAGGUGCGAAAGCAGGUCAUAGUGAUCCGGUGGUUCUGAAUGGAAGGGCCAUCGCUCAACGGAUAAAAGGUACUCCGGGGAUAACAGGCUGAUACCGCCCAAGAGUUCAUAUCGACGGCGGUGUUUGGCACCUCGAUGUCGGCUCAUCACAUCCUGGGGCUGAAGUAGGUCCCAAGGGUAUGGCUGUUCGCCAUUUAAAGUGGUACGCGAGCUGGGUUUAGAACGUCGUGAGACAGUUCGGUCCCUAUCUGCCGUGGGCGCUGGAGAACUGAGGGGGGCUGCUCCUAGUACGAGAGGACCGGAGUGGACGCAUCACUGGUGUUCGGGUUGUCAUGCCAAUGGCACUGCCCGGUAGCUAAAUGCGGAAGAGAUAAGUGCUGAAAGCAUCUAAGCACGAAACUUGCCCCGAGAUGAGUUCUCCCUGACCCUUUAAGGGUCCUGAAGGAACGUUGAAGACGACGACGUUGAUAGGCCGGGUGUGUAAGCGCAGCGAUGCGUUGAGCUAACCGGUACUAAUGAACCGUGAG